rnacentral:rRNA from 1 species
UACGGAGGGAGCUAGCGUUGUUCGGAAUUACUGGGCGUAAAGCGCACGUAGGCGGCGAUUCAAGUCAGAGGUGAAAGCCCGGGGCUCAACUCCGGAACUGCCUUUGAAACUAGAUUGCUAGAAUCUUGGAGAGGCGAGUGGAAUUCCGAGUGUAGAGGUGAAAUUCGUAGAUAUUCGGAAGAACACCAGUGGCGAAGGCGACUCGCUGGACAAGUAUUGACGCUGAGGUGCGAAAGCGUGGGGAGCAACAGGAUUAAGAUACC